CGGGUAGUUUGGGGCAGGCAACCAGAGAACACCACCACACUGUUCCUGAUGACUAUCCAAGUCAGAGAGCCCCGAGAUCUAAUCCAGCCUCCUCAUCAUGUAGAUAAGGACAUUGAUGUGAAGUGACUUGGGGGUGGGGGAGCAUGAUGAGGCAGUCAAACAUAUGAGGACUUAUCUGUGAUGUCACAAAGGCUCCCCUUACUUCAGCAUCACCCUGGGCCUUGGGAGCCAGGACUUGUUUCGCUUCAGAAUUGUUUAUUAAAGGGAAUUUAGUGCCCUUCAUGUUGGGAAAGCAGAGGGAAUGGCUAAAGGCAAGAUGGGAAGUCCAAGAGACACUUGUUUGGCCCUUUGUAGCCAGGCGGGCUUGUGCAGUUGAAGGGGCUGAGGUGACAGAAUGAGACCAUGAAGAGGAAGCCUAUCAGGACCAGCCCACCAACGGAGUGAAGACAAGGAGUUUGCUAUAUUGCUAUAGAGUUUGCUAUAUUGCUGAAAUGGUAGAUACGGAUAAUAGAAGGAAAUAAACAAUAAUGAGAAUAAGGAUGUCUUUCUUUAGAGAGACUCCAGUCUCAAAGCCCUGUGGGAUUUACAACUUGGAGCCACUAACUAACCAGCUCAUCAGAGAAUGACCUGUCAGCAUUGCCAAUAUUUUCUUUAAUGAGGUAUUGCUGUGGUAUUGGCACCUGGCGAACUGUUUGUCCAUAGUAAGCUGGCACAUAGUGGUCUCCAGACGUGGGCUCCUAGAGCAGUUGAUGCCAAGAUUCUGUCCACACUUGCAGCUGGAGGCCUUGGGGACCCCGUGCAUCACUUCCAUGGAGCCAUGGAUGAAGUUAUUGCUCAACCUGCAUGACCCAUUAGCUUCGGAAACUUUUCUCCAGACCACCACGUCAUUGCAAUACUCUUUGUCGUUACCUGGGCUGUCUCCUCCGGGGAAGCUAUAAUGUAAUCUUCUGAAUGUCAAUAACGAGGAAGACAGACUAUCCUUGGACGUACUGGCACUAGUAUUUUUAUGUAACAGAGUCAAGUUCAUUAAUA